GGACCCGCCCGGGCUGGGCUGGACUGGGCUGGGCUGGGGACCCC
rnacentral:miRNA from 1 species